rnacentral:rRNA from 1 species
AGUGAACGCUGGCGGUAGGCCUAACACAUGCAAGUCGAACGGCAGCACAGUAAGAGCUUGCUCUUACGGGUGGCGAGUGGCGGACGGGUGAGGAAUACAUCGGAAUCUACUUUUUCGUGGGGGCUAACGUAGGGAAACUUACGCUAAUACCGCAUACGACCUACGGGUGAAAGCAGGGGAUCUUCGGACCUUGCGCGAUUGAAUGAGCCGAUGUCGGAUUAGCUAGUUGGCGGGGUAAAGGCCCACCAAGGCGACGAUCCGUAGCUGGUCUGAGAGGAUGAUCAGCCACACUGGAACUGAGACACGGUCCAGACCCCGACGGGAGGCAGCAGUGGGGAAUAUUGGGCAAUGGGCGCAAGCCUGAACCAGCCAUACCGCGGGGGUGAAGAAGGCCUUCGGGUUGUAAAGCCCUUUUGUUGGGAAAGAAAAGCAGCAGGUUAAUACCCCGCUGUUCGGACGGUACCCAAAGAAUAAGCACCGGCUAACUUCGU